rnacentral:rRNA from 1 species
GAUGAACGCUAGCUACAGGCUUAACACAUGCAAGUCGCGGGACCGGCGCACGGGUGAGUAACGCGGAUCCAACCUGCCCUUCACCACGGGAUAACCCGGCGAAAGUCGGACUAAUACCGUAAGGUGAAGGAUGGGGAUGCGUCCGAUUAGCUUGACGGAGGGGUAACGGCCCACCGUGGCUACGAUCGGUAGGGGUGCGGAGAGGGAGGGCCCCCACACUGGAACUGAGACACGGUCCAGACUCCUACGGGAGGCAGCAGGGAUGAAUAUUGGUCACUGGGCGUAAGCCUGAACCAGCCAAGUAGCGUGAAGGACGACGGCCUAUGGGUUGUAAACUGCGUUUAUGCGGGGAUAGGUACCGCAUGAAUAAGGACCGGCUAAUUCCGUGCCAGCAGCCGCGGUAAUAC